rnacentral:rRNA from 1 species
AUGAACGCUGGCGGCAUGCCUAAUACAUGCAAGUCGAGCGAACGGACGAGAAGCUUGCUUCUCUGAUGUUAGCGGCGGACGGGUGAGUAACACGUGGAUAACCUACCUAUAAGACUGGGAUAACUUCGGGAAACCGGAGCUAAUACCGGAUAAUAUUUUGAACCGCAUGGUUCAAAAGUGAAAGACGGUCUUGCUGUCACUUAUAGAUGGAUCGGCGCUGCAUUAGCUAGUUGGUAAGGUAACGGCUUACCAAGGCAACGAUGCAUAGCCGACCUGAGAGGGUGAUCGGCCACACUGGAACUGAGACACGGUCCAGACUCCUACGGGAGGCAGCAGUAGGGAAUCUUCGGCAAAGGGCGAAAGCCUGACGGAGCAACGCCGCGUGAGUGAUGAAGGUCUUCGGAUCGUAAAACUCUGUUAUUAGGGAAGAACAUAUGUGUAAGUAACUGUGCACAUCUUGACGGUACCUAAUCAGAAAGCCACGGCUAACUACGUG